GAUGAAGAACGUAGCGAAAUGCGAUAAGUAAUGUGAAUUGCAGAAUUCAGUGAAUCAUCGAAUCUUUGAACGCACCUUGCGCCCGCCAGUAUUCUGGCGGGCAUGCCUGUUCGAGCGUCAUUACAACCCUCAGGCCCCCGGGCCUGGCGUUGGGGAUCGGCGGAGCCCCCCGUGGGCACACGCCGUCCCCCAAAUGCAGUGGCGGUCCCGCCGCAGCUUCCAUCGCGUAGUAGCUAACACCUCGCGACUGGAGAGCGGCGCGGCCACGCCGUAAAACACCCAACUCUUCUGAAGUUGACCUCGAAUCAGGUAGGAAUACCCGCUGAACUUAAGCAUAUCAAUAAGCGGAGGA
rnacentral:misc_RNA from 1 species